rnacentral:rRNA from 1 species
UACGUAGGGUGCAAGCGUUGUCCGGAAUUAUUGGGCGUAAAGAGCUCGUAGGCGGUCUGUCGCGUCGGCUGUGAAAACUCGGGGCUCAACCCCGAGCCUGCAGUCGAUACGAGCAGACUAGAGUGCUGUAGGGGAGACUGGAAUUCCUGGUGUAGCGGUGAAAUGCGCAGAUAUCAGGAGGAACACCGGUGGCGAAGGCGGGUCUCUGGGCAGUAACUGACGCUGAGGAGCGAAAGCGUGGGGAGCAAACAGG